rnacentral:rRNA from 1 species
AUGGUAAAACGGUAUCUCGUUGAAUGUGGGGCUAAACUGUUGCUGGUGGCAAGAUGGUUUCGAUGCACGCCACGUUCCACAAGCUACGAUGUCUUUGAACAUAAACGUACUGCCGCAUUUCAGGUCUUUGAGGCAGACUUGCAAUCGAGCCCUGGUCGAUGGAGAAAGGGCAGUGAGUUGGGUGGCCAUGCACUCUUUCUUGGCCAACAUGGCUCCAAGUGCCUGCCUGCUGUGGAAUGCAGUGGAUACAAUGAGGAUUGCAUCUACUUCAUGUGUGACUAUGUCUGGCCCACCUCUUCUGCAAAUCCUCUUUGCGACUCUGGUGUGUACAGCAUGAGGGAUGGCACAAUCACGCCGUUGAUGUCAGAGGCAGCAGCAGCACCGCUGCAGCGUGUUGGACAGUGGCGGCCCACAUGGUUCUUCCCUCCUCAAGCUGUGUGA